AAAGGAAUUGACGGGGACCCGCACAAGCAGCGGAGCAUGUGGUUUAAUUCGAAGCAACGCGAAGAACCUUACCAGGGCUUGACAUAUUAGUGAUCGAUAUAGAGAUAUAUCCUUUCCUUCGGGAACACUACUACAGGUGGUGCAUGGUUGUCGUCAGCUCGUGUCGUGAGAUGUUGGGUUAAGUCCCGUAACGAGCGCAACCCCUGUUUUUAGUUACUAACAAGUAAAGUUGAGGACUCUAAAGAGACUGCCGAUGAGAAAUCGGAGGAAGGUGGGGACGACGUCAAAUCAUCAUGCCCUUUAUGUCCUGGGCUACACACGUGCUACAAUGGUCGGUACAACGAGCAGCCAUCUAGUGAUAGAGAGCGAAUCUUAAAAAGCCGAUCUCAGUUCGGAUUGUAGGCUGCAAUUCGCCUACAUGAAGUCGGAGUUGCUAGUAAUCGCGAAUCAGCAUGUCGCGGUGAAUGCGUUCCCGGGUCUUGUACACACCGCCCGU
rnacentral:rRNA from 1 species